UACCCGGUGGUGUAAUCGGUAACACAGCAGAUUUUGGUUCUGCGAUUGGUGGUUCGAGUCCACCCCGGGUAG
rnacentral:tRNA from 1 species